rnacentral:lncRNA from 1 species
UAUUUAAUCUCUAGUGUUUCAAACAUGCUAUGGGUAAUUCAUAUACUACUAUGGUGAAAUUAAUUUGUAGUUAAAUCACUAAAUAUCAUUCCUAAAUAGCUGAAUAAGUAAUUUAAAAGCUAUAUAAUGGCUUCUGUUUGUUGGUUCAACGCAUAAAUAUUUUGAAUGCAAGUAUGGUGAUCUGAGAAGGCUGAAUGUUCAACUUCUUAGUAGUUAAAGGAUUUUUGGUCUUAAUUCCCAAAUGUAAAUAGAGUUCAGGCCCAUGGUGAUUGUCAUUAAAUCUACAUUUAAGGAAGUAUACUACUGAGAAAUUGAUGUUGCUUUUGAUUAAAUAUACAGAAGCUACUUUUUCCUCUAGUUAUUUAGGAUUACCCUACAUGAUUAGUUAGACAUUUGCAGUGGAAAAAAAAAUUCCACUGGUAACUAUGCAGUGCACUUUGAACCUGAAGACAGUAUGUUCUUUCCUACUAGCUUGUAGGUAGUGGCCCUGAAUCAUAUGUGAUAAGGAAAGAGGAGAAGGAGAAAUGCUCCCUUGGGUACCAUGGGAAGCCUUCAGAGGAGUCUUAGGGAGAGGAGGAAGAUGGGAGAAGUGCAAGGGUAAUGGUCUGUCUGGAGGACCUCAGUCAGUGUAGACACAACAUCUCUGUAUGAAUGUCCUCUCCUCCCACUGACAUAGGAGAAUGAGGGUCAAGAGCAAAACAGACCUUUGCAUGGGGAGGAAGAUCGAGGAGGAAGGCUGACGGCUCUAUGAGGAGACCUAGGCUUUUCCUGUGGGUUUCACAUGAACAACUUUUUGCCAGUCAUGACUCUGCAUGUCCUGUACCUAAGCUGAUAAAGCAUGUAUGCACUUUAAUGUCAAGUCUAUGCCACUCCAUUAAUACAGUGUGAGCUGUACCUUAAACCUUGGAUAUAAAGACCUACAAACCAAA